rnacentral:rRNA from 1 species
UACGGAGGGUGCAAGCGUUAUCCGGAUUCACUGGGUUUAAAGGGUGCGUAGGUGGGCAAGUAAGUCAGUGGUGAAAUCUCCGGGCUUAACCCGGAAACUGCCAUUGAUACUAUAUAUCUUGAAUGCUGUGGAGGUAAGCAGAAUAUGUCAUGUAGCGGUGAAAUGCUUAGAGAUGACAUAGAAUACCUAUUGCGAAGGCAGCUUACUACGCAGAUAUUGACGCUCAUGCACGAAAGCGUGGGGAUCAAACAGG